UCAGGCAAGUGUCUGAGUCAGCUUCAUAUAUUGACUAAAUUUAUAAAAUUUCCACAAAACCGACAAGAAAGGACUCUUAUUAAAGAACAAAUCAAAUAAUUAAACAACUACUAACUCGCUAGAGCUGCCAUAACCAACACUGCAUCACGCAUGGAAGAUUAACUACCAAAUAUAUGUUAUCGGAAAAUAAAACAUUAUUACAAUCAUUUUUA